UAAUGUUAUUGAAAUACUUAUGUCAAAUUUUUAAAAAAUCAAAUAUAUAUAGGAUUUUUAUCGUCUUCUAUCGUUCGCUGCCAAAUUAGUUUCCAUUGAUAUUUUUUUUUAUUUUUAGGCACACAAAAAAAUCAUUUUCUUGAGAGGAGCCAUUUUUGGAAUGAUGAUGAAGAUUAUAUGUUCUUGAUGUUCAUAAAAGUCAAAGUGCAAUGAUAUGGCUAACAGGAAUACAUAAAAUUGUAUACAACAGCAACAAAUAACUGAACAACAAAAACUCAAAAGAUCACCAUACAGCUUUAUAUAAAAUAGAAAAGUGUCUAUACAGAGGCAGAUCUAGGAUAGUAAUAAGGGAGCUGGUGUAAGUGCCGAAAACGCAUUAUAUAUACAGCCAAUCUUUCGUUUAGUGUAAAAAAUAUUUCAUUAUGAAAUUAUAAUCUUAAACGUUAUGAGUAUGACAGUUGUAUUAAGAUUGGUAAACAUAUAAUUUUUUUGUUUUUACGAAUUAAGUUUAAAGUACACGUAUAUAUUCAGAAAUGUCCUUGGUACAACAUUUCUUUUACUAUUGAUAUAUCAUUUGUUUUGUAGGUCAAUGUCAGAAAACUUUAACCCAGAUGAAAAUAGACGGAAGUCGGAAGAGAGAACCGGUACAAUUUCCUCCAACGAAAAAAAGUUGUAUGUUUCGUGUAAUUGCUCAAAUUUAAGUAUGAACGCAUCCUUAUAAAAACAUCACACGGUAGCAAAUAUGAACAAGUCCUAAAAAAGGUCAUGUUACAAAUAUGAACACAGGGUCAUCCUUAUGACGUAUCACGGUAGCAAACAUGAACAUAUCCUUAUUAAACCCUAUUGUUGCAAAUAUGAACUAGUGCGGGAGUUUCUUGCUACAUUGAAGACUCAUUGGUGGCCUUCGGCUGUUGUCUACUCAAUGGUCGGGUUGUUAUCGCUUUGACACAUUCCCCAUUUCCUUUCUCAAUUUUAGUUCUUAUAAAAAUUCUAUCCAUAUUUAAUAUGGAAAAAUCCUACUUAUGACAGUUUGGAAUGUAGCUAAUAUGAACAAAUCAUAACUUAUGAAAAUUCCCACGAUAGCAAUUAGGAACACAUCAUUAAAUAUAAUCUUAUGGUAGCGGUCGCACAUAUGAACAAAUCCUUGUAAACAUUAUCACGGUGGCAAAUAUGAAAACAUCCUUGAAAAAAUCCCACGGUAGUAAAUAUGAAAAAAAUCCUUAUAAAAAUUUUCACGGUCACGAAUAUGAUCACAUCAUUAUAAAAAUGAUAUCGGUAACGGUAGCAAAUAUGAAAGGAUCUUUAUAAAAAUUGUCACGGUAGUACAUAUGAUCUCACGAUAGCGGUUGUGCGCAUGGUAGCAGUUUCAAAUUAGAAAUGAGCAAAUCCUUAUAGUAUACUUAUCACGGUAGCAACUAUAAACAUAUUCAUAUAUAUAUUCUCACGGUAUCAAAAAUUAACACAACCUUGUAAAAAUUCUCACUGUGGCAAAGAGAAACAAAUCCUUUUAAAGAUUCUAACAGUAUCACAUUUGAACAAAAUUUAAUCCUUAUGCAUGAAAAUUAUCACGGUAGCGGUUACCAAUAUGAACAAAUUCUUAUAAAAAAAAUUUCAUGGUUGCAAAUAUGAACAUGGUAGCACAUGAUAUGGAUUUUUUUAAAGUUUAAUAUUACAAAAUAAGUGUAGAAUAAAAUCAGAACAGCUACAUGUACUUAGAAAUGGAAACCAAAUAUACUUAAGGUACUUGUCUCAAUAAAAGGAACGUGUAUUGAAUAGUGGAAUUUUUUUUAUACUUUAAUAACCCAAACAGUUAUUGCGAGUAUGUUGUUUUCCAUAAACUUUGAGCGUUUCUGAUGAUAAAACACCGAAGCACGUUACGUGCUUAUUAUAACAUUACUAGCUAUUAUAAAUAUAUGUCAUUGGUGUUUUUUCACUGAAUGUAAAUGAACUAAUACCUACAAUGUAAAUGUGUGCAUAGAUCAAGAUGUGACACCCUAUUUUCGAUUCUAAUAAAACACUACAAUUAUCAUUCAGGUCAAUGUGUACAAGUAUAUGUACUAAGAUGGGUAGCGUGAUCCUGAAAAUUGGAAAAAUGUCGUUUUUUGGAAUAAAAACUUUGAAUUAUAUAUUUCUUUUGAUCCGACCGGAAGCUACAUUAUACUUCGGUCCCGUCUCUAAACCAAAUAUCCAAGAUCCGCCGUGUUGUUUUUCAGAUUCACUCUUCACCAUAAAAACAGCGGUAGUGAUCGCAUUUUGCAUAAACUGAGAAACCGUCCAAAACAUAAAUUUCAUCGUUCCUAUUUAAUAAUAUUUAACAUAUAUAAUGAAGUUAAAAUAAAAGUAUAUCACAAACAAGAACGCGAACAAAACAUAAAAAUAAAAAAAAUUCUUUACAAAGUUGAUGCUUUCGAAGUGCAUUCCGGAUGUACCUUCAUCAGAAACGCUAAAACCCAUCAAUUUUAAAGUCAACGAUGUAUAUAAAUAUAUGCAUUAUAAGUAGGGCACACAUGUAUGUCCUACUUAGAGAACAGUUAUGUUUACAUACCAAAAACGGCAUGUCAUUCUAGAAUCUAUAAUUUGUUUGUUUUGUUUUGUUUUAACAUGGUCUUGAAAUCAAAUGAUCCCCGUGCACAAAUAAUCACAAAUUAAGAUAUUAGGACAUCAGUGAAUAUAUGGUAUGAGUUUUGCUCAUUUUUGAAAAACACACGGUGACUCAUAAUUGCUAAAAUCUACGUUAUUUGGAUUCUGUUGUACUAGUAAACAUUUUUAAAUUACAAUAUUUUUAAUCAAGACAUUUACGUGUUUUACGAUGAAAAUUCUGAAAAACAUAUUGUUUACGCUAAUACAAAUAUGACAGGACUUGUUUGUUUGUCUUCUAUUUGUAUGUAAAAAUAUAUCUCAAGUUUUUACCCCUUAAAACUUAAGUCUGUGUAUAACCCUUAUUUGUUUACCUUUAAUAUAUUUACAAUGUGAAAUGAGUCACAACAAAUCUAUUCAAAUCAUGACCUUUUUUUGAACCACAACUGUUUUUUUCUUAGUAAAGAAGUAGUAUACAAUUGAAGAUAUUAAAGAUAUAAAUUUUUAGUACGGUCAAGGCUAUAGAUCGAAAAAUAUCACUUAGAGCUGUGUAUGAGACGACAAUACGAAUAGAAUAAGAUGAUGAUUAUACAUCAAUGAGACAGGAACCUAUCGACAAAAGUUAUAAAUUAAAAAUUAAGAUUAUAUCUAACAUAACUACUAUUUGAAGAAAAUAAAAGGAGUUAUAUAAAGCACGAUACCAGCA
rnacentral:lncRNA from 1 species